GCGCGUGUGUCUGUGUGUGUGCAUGUGCGUGUUUGUGUGUAUGUGCAUGUGCGUGUUUGUGUGUAUGUGUGCGUGUGUCUGUAUGUGUGAGUGUGUGUUUGUAUGUGUGCAUGUGUCUGUAUGUGCGUGUGUCUGUGUGUGUGUGUGUGUCUGUGCGUGUGUGUCUGUGUGUGUGCAUGUGCGUGUUUGUGUGUAUGUGCAUGUGCGUGUUUGUGUGUAUGUGUGCGUGUGUCUGUAUGUGUGAGUGUGUGUUUGUAUGUGUGCGUGUGUCUGUAUGUGCAUGUGUGAGUGUGUGUUUGUAUGUGUGCGUGUGUCUGUAUGUGCGUGUGUCUGUGUGUGUGUGUCUGUAUGUGUGAGUGUGUGUUUGUAUGUGUGCGUGUGUCUGUAUGUGUGAGUGUGUGUUUGUAUGUGUGCGUGUGUCUGUAUGUGCGUGUGUCUGUGUGUGUGUGUGUCUGUGCGCGUGUAUGCGUGCGUCUCUGAAGCAGACUGCUGAACAGGAGCUAAUGAAGCGAGAGGCUGAUUGUACGCUGGCUUAUGUAAAUAGAAUGUGGCAGGCAGCGGGACUGGGCCCAUUCAGGCUAAAAGCCGUGAGGAGGAUCUGCUGUGGGGACCAGUGUUGAAGGGAGAUGUCAAACGCUGCUGUGCAGGGUGAUCCUCUAUAGCCUGGGCUGAUUAGACAGGUAGAGCCCCGCCCCAGUGUCACACCUUUUCAGUGACCCCCGUCACCCCAGCCCCGAUCCCGGAAAAAAAUCAUCUCCCUCACAAACAAGCUUUUAAAGGGCAUCCACACGGCUCUCUCUGCAGUUUGUGUGUGCCUGUUUACGUGUGUCUGUGUGCGUGCAUGUGUGUAUGUGUUUAUGUGUGCGCGUGCAUACGUGUGCGUGUGCGUGUGCGUGUGCGUGUGCGUGUGCGUGCGCAUGCAUGUGUGUGUGCAUGUGUCACCAAUGGGAAUCAUCCCAUGGUCACAUUUUACAGGCUUUCAACCUCUGACUUCUCUGGGAGACUUCAAAAGAGAUGGUGACUUUCCAAAUCCCUUUAUAGUGCUUCAUAAAUAUGUCUGUCUCCAGACAAACAGUAAGUCAAACCCUUGUGAUAGUAUUUGUUUAGAGCACACAGACCACUAUAUACAUUUUACCCUAUUUGUUUAGUGUAAAAUAGUGACCAUAUACAUUUUUCCAACUUCUCACAAUAUAGUAAAGCUAAAACUGAAAAAAAUUAUAUGACGUAUUUUAUUUGAUUACAUAUCUUAUUUUAAGAACACUGUGUAUUCACUAAAUCAAACAUGCUCCACAGAAAAUCAAAUUACUUUUUAAAAACUUUUUUUUGGCUUCCCCUUUAUGAGCACCCCGACCCCCCGAGGUCUCCACUGGGGGUCUCAAUGAAAUCCUGCCAGUCAUCACACUGCCACCUAUACUCAUGCAAGGAGCACAGUAAUGUCCAUGUGCUCCUUCCAUACACUUACUUGCACACGUUUCACUGAUUUCAACAGGUAGCCAGUGGGAGAGUGACUGGCUUGUAAUCCAGGUAAACUAAUAAGCGAAUGUAGCAGAAACUCCGGGCUGACUGAAACCUACCUUACCCCAGGCACAAUUAAGCCAACUGUGUCCCCACAUUGAGAACAGUCUGCUAGGUGCAAGUAACAGCGAGUACAACAUCAGUGUAAGCAGUUCACCCGAAAUUCUCUGCCAAAAACAAUGACUGAGCAUAUUAUCACCACUGAGAUUAAGGCUAUAAUCCUGUAUGAAAUCAUUUUCAUCCUGCUUGGCAAUUCUUGUUGUUAACAUGUGACUUAAUUUGGUUCCCGACAUGCAGUUUCAUGCAUCAGCAGUGGAUGGGCUUUAAUACAACAUGAAUGCAGGAAUGAGUCCUAACUGUAUCCCAUGCAGCCUUGGUCUCUAACCUCAACAAACACUAUAGAGGAAAUCCGGGGGCGACUCACCGCCUACUCACCCUGUCCCGGCUCAUUUACAGUAUGGCUCCGUGACACAACUCUGCCAUCCCCUACGGCUGUGCUAACACGGUACCCCAAACCGCAAUUCACCACAGCAGCAUAACGUCAGGCUAUUAAUAAUUUGCUGGGUUCACACAGCAAAUUUGUCAAAAAAGUGAGUUACAAGGAACCUUUGCCUACGGACAUCCUGGUAUACGUCUGUUGUCCACUGCUCUGCAGGCGUACCCAUUGGUUCUUUGCCUCUCUCACCAUGUGCACUCACAGCACGCAGAGAGAACCAGGCCAGACGCUAUAGCUGAGAGAAAUUCUGAAGACUGGCGGCGAGCUCUGGAGGCUCCAAUUCAAAGAGCGCCAAUAUUGAUCCCCGCUGCUGCUAUUGAUCCUGUGUCACCUCUGUGAUGUAAUCAUGUUCUCCUUGUUAUCUGUUUCUCCGCUGUCUGAUUUAGAACCCCGGCCUUGUUCUCGCAGCUUCCCAGGUUUAAUGACACUCCCAACGGCUCUUGGUCUAAAGACUGUACAUGACUGCUAUCAGAAGGGUGUCUUGUACCUUAAGAUCAUAUUUAUCUGAGAGUAGAUCAAAAACCAGGAAUUGGAACACCUAUCAGUAUUUUGCACAGGUAGCAAGUUACAAUGUUUAAUCAAAAUGCUUUUAUCCAUGAAGGUGAAAAGUAACCUUUCAAAUGGAACAUGCUGAGGUACAGCACUGUACAUUUUCUAGCAUAUAGCUCUACGUUCUCAUGCUAUCAUCCAAUAGGGUAAAAGUCAUACCCCAACAAAAAAGAUAUUUAGGGACAAGGGCAGGCUAGCCUCCAUACCCCAAAUGGAGGAAAUGAAACAUAUUUGUGUGAUUCGUAUCAUAUUCCCCGGGUACAUAUGAGGUACAUGUAGAUACAUUGUAUAGAAUUGUCUUGACAAAAACAGGCUCAUAUAUUAAGUGUGAAUGCGCUUUCCUGUCUUCUGAAGUAAGGAGUAUCAAAUGCCUCCCCGGCACGAUCACUGGGCAUUGAUGCAGUGUGUCAUUCCCACAAAAUCUCUCACUGUUUUGACAAGCCCUUUUAUCCUGCAGAUAGACCGCGGAGGGAUGUUUUUUCUUUACGCACGGCACACAGUCUGGGUAACAUAAAGUUAGUUUAAUCACUGAGAGAGACCUCAGCAGUCACUGUAUACCACUGACAGUUUGAUUAAUCAGAGGCCAAUCAACAUAUUUCACAUCCACUCUGUUUUUUUGUAUAAAGUAUCAAGGCUUGUGGUUUAUGUGUAUAUUUAAUUAUGUUCCUUUUUGCUUAUUCAUUUAUGCAGUUGAGCGAGGGCCUCAGCUGUUCCACCGAUUUAACAAUUGGUCUGUAAAAAGAAGAAAGGGAAAGAAGGAAAAUGAUUACACACACAGCCAGGAAAUGACAGCAAGACUUUCUUUUAAGUGCCUUAAUAUGUCAGUCCAGGAUAUUGCAGGUGAUUUCAUUUCAUUUCUCUCGCCUUUAUGAUGGUGGGAAAACACCACUCUGUUAUUUUUACAGCUCUUCCAGCAUGGCUGUGCUUCCUCAGGUGGGAUUUUUCCCCCUCUCCAUUUUAAAGGGCUUUCUUACAGUGCAACUGCAGGCCACUUAAUCGACUCUACAAAGGCACAGAUCACAGGCCUGGGAUCACAGAGGAACCAGGCAGGUGCAAGGCAUCUGAGGCCGAUGUGCUGGCCAAGCCUAGGACACCACGCAAUUUAGAAUGGACAACAGGAAGAUGCCCAGUCAAUCAACAGAGGCUAUUUAACCUGGUAACUACCUGAGUCACUGAACUGAGAAAUAUCAGUAAUGGAACAGCUCAGUUCCACCAGUCAGUAGUGAAGGAGCAGAAGUUCAGCCUGCACUGCAUCUAAAAUAUCGUCAUGAUGUUACUUUGUGUGGAAAAUCCCAAGAGGAAAGGAGCACAGGAACUCUGGGAAAGGCGGAGAGCCGCUGAAGCGAAGGGGGAGGCAUGCCGCCAGAACGGCGGGACGGCGCCUGCCUGUAGGCCGCAUCAGGGUGGUGCUGGGAAGGAGAGGGCAGCCGAGGGGGAUAUGCUGGAGGACCGUUCAGAGGGAAAUGUGAGAAUGGAGCCUCACCCCGGCCACACUUCAAACAAACAGGGAAAGAUUCCCGGCACUGGAUAUAACUCACGGAUGUUUCAUCUGGCCACAGGAACUGCAAGGGGUCCCCACUCUGGCUUUGGAGUAGGAUGGCUAAUGUUGAAAGGCCCAGCUACUAAGGUGUCAAAGUUCAUGUUUCAUAAAUUCAUGCUUCAGACUACAAUGCAGCCCGGUCAAUACCACACUGCAGCAUGUGAGUUUUAAAGCACACUCAAACACUCGCAUUUUGAUGGGACAGCACAUGUGACAGUGAAUGGCAGGGCGUCAUUGGGCCAAUUGUGGAGCUCAUGUUCACUGGGAAAAAGCUUGCUUUCUGUGACCCCGCGAGGUCGUCCGUCCGCUCUCGGUUUGAGCUGGAUCGGUAAGAUUUUUGCAGUCUGUGUACACAGCCUUGAUCUAUCCCUCUUCUCCCAUGCCUGGAGAUGAGCCAGAUUCAAACUGCAAAUCUCCGGAACUGCCGUCCCAUCUUAUUUGUGACACUUGCCCCAUUCUGGCUUGCAGCGCUUCCAGAAAAAUGGCAGGAGAGUGAGUAAAAACUCACCCACUCGCAACAUUAUAAAGUCAGACCACGGCGGGAAUGGCGAGCCAUAUACAAAAAUGUGUUGAAUUUAUUGACUAAAACGCCCUCCAGAAACCCGCAUCCGCCGUCAAUCCAAAGAGAAAACUCCGUUUCAUCUUCCGUUCCACAAGUUUGGGUGCAACGUUACUCAUUUCAGUUUUAAUUUACUGCAAUCUGUGGAAAAGCACUGGCUCCUAAUCUGUCGGGCCCCGGAUGUAGAGGAAAACAGAAUGUGUUUACUGAGUGGAUGAAGCGGCUCUGAAUUAAUAGGGGCCUUCCAAAAUGUGCUCAGUGGAGGGGGGAGGGGGAGGUUCAGAAGGUCAAGGUGUGUCUCUCAGUCAAGCUGACUUUCAGACAUAUAGUCUGCUAUAGCCUUCUAAGGGAAAAAAUAUCUGUCAAGUAUUCCCUCUAGAACAAAUAAUAUGCAAGUAACACACUGCCAACACCAUACAUUCUUAUGUUUGGCAGCCAGCAAGGAAGAUACCCAGGCAUUAAUCAAGGAAGCAGAAGAGGCACUCUUGUACAGUCUGUCUCGACCCUUCUCUUCCUCGCUGCUGCAAGUUCGGCGGUUAGCCAGCAGCUCUUCAGCUGUGUGCAUGUGCCUGCAGCCCUGUAUUCCACAAAGAACUGGAGCAAUCACAGGAAAAAAUAAAAACUCUGGACGGAUGGUGCGGCACCAAGCUCACCGCUUUCAGUGCAUUUCCUUCCCUUUAAGCUGGGGUUGGCUCACUGACCUGAAAAAAUCUGAGAUACUCGGCAGUAAAAAUAUCUGCAUCAGUUCUCGUUGCUUUCAUACCACCGCUAAAGCCCUUAGAUUUCCACUGCCGCUCCUCAGAGGGCGUGGUCAUUUGGACGGGCGUUUUUACGGACAGGCGGUUCUCAGCGUAAGAAGGUUCACGGCUGACGAGGUGAAAAUGUCCCGUUCGCUCUUUGUGACCUGUAGAGGGAUUGCGAGCGCGAGCGCCCUGCAGUGCCCGAAGCCCCCUUGCGAGACGACCUAACCUUGGACGUGUGAUGGCACAGUCCCGCACCACAGCGCCGGGCUUCACCCUGUCCCGGACUGGAACAGGAUCCCCUGAGCGUCCAUGUGAUCGGUGAGCCAGCACUCCGCAACGGGCACACCUCUCUGCGGCAUGGGGAUGAAACAAGGCCCAAACAUGCCAUCACCAACUUUGAACAAAUCCGCCUGUGUUCAACUGCCUGAAUAAAUAUCAGUUCAGAUCAGUCAUUCUAUCAUGAAGACCAACAAACUGUCUAUGGAAGUUUGAGAUGAAGUUGUUCGGAGGCAAAAAGCUAUAGAAGAUUAUGACAAGAUAAGCAAAACCUUUCUAGAAGCACUGCACUGUCCACUGUAGCAAAAUGGAAACAAUAUGGCACAGCCCAGACUGUACCAAGGUCAGGCUGUCCUACCAAACUGAGCAACCAGACAAGAAUGCUAAUUGCCAGAGAAGUGACCGAGAGGGCAGCUACAACCCUGACAGAGGACAUGUCUCCAGCGCUUCGCAGACUUUGGUCUUUUCGGGAGAGUGGCUAGACAGAAGCCACAUCAGAUAAAGGCCAACAUUAAGUCACAUCUGGAGUUUGCCAGAAGCCAUGCAACGGAGCCUGAGACCUUCUGCAAGACCUUGUGGCCUGAUGAGACUGAGGUUGAGCUUUUUGGCCUGAAACCAAAGCUCUACGUUUGCCACAAACCAAACAGAGCCGAUCACCCAGGUAACUCCAUCCCUACCGACAAGCAUGGAAGUGGCAGCAUCAUGAUAUGGGGCUGCUUUGCAGCAAGAGGGAGUGGGAAGUUUGUUGCCAUCAAGGGCAAGAUGGAUGGACCCAAAUCUUUAAGGACCUGUUUCAGUUUGCAAGAGCUCUGUUUAGGGCAAAUAUUCAUGGUCAAACGGAACAAUGACUCAAAGCACACGGCAAAGGAAUGGCUUAAAAACAUGAUCAGUAUUCUGGAAGGGCCCAGCCAAAGCCUUGAGACUUAAUUCCGACUGAAAAUCUGUGGUAUGGCCACUGAGGACUGUCCACCGAUGCUCUCUAACUUGGCAGAGUUGCAGCAAAUUUGCAGGGAGGAAUAGGUAAAAAUACCAAAAUCUAAAUGUACAAAGGUCAUAGAGACAGUGACAUUGGAGGGAGCUUUCAUUAAAAAAAAAAAAAAAAAAAAAAAA